GCGGCGUGCCUAACACAUGCAAGUCGAACGAGAAAGUUCCUUCNGGGGACGAGUAAAGUGGCGCACGGGUGAGUAACGCGUGGAUGAUCUGCCCAUACGUUUGGAAUAACGGCUGGAAACGGUCGCUAAUACCGGAUACGCUUCUGAUGUAACGAUUGGGGGGAAAGGGGGCCUCUGAAUAUGCUCCCGCGUAUGGAUGAGUCCGCGUCCCAUUAGCUUGUUGGGGGGGUAAAGGCCCACCAAGGCGACGAUGGGUAGCUGGUCUGAGAGGAUGACCAGCCACACUGGGACUGGAACACGGCCCAGACUCCUACGGGAGGCAGCAGUGGGGAAUAUUGCGCAAUGGGCGAAAGCCUGACGCAGCGACGCCGCGUGAGGGAUGAAGGCCUUCGGGUCGUAAACCUCUGUCAGGAGGGAAGAAAGGCGCAGGCGCUAAUCAGCCUGCGAUUGACGGUACCUCCAAAGGAAGCACCGGCUAACUCCGUGCCAGCAGCCGCGGUAAUACGGAGGGUGCGAGCGUUAAUCGGAAUCACUGGGCGUAAAGCGCGCGUAGGCUGUUUUGUAAGUCAGGGGUGAAAUCCCACCGCUCAACGGUGGAACUGCCUUUGAAACUGCGGGACUGGAGUGCGAGAGAGGGUGGCGGAAUUCCAGGUGUAGGGGUGAAAUCCGUAGAUAUCUGGAGGAACACCGGUGGCGAAGGCGGCCACCUGGCUCGUAACUGACGCUGAGGUGCGAAAGCGUGGGUAGCAAACAGGAUUAGAUACCCUGGUAGUCCACGCUGUAAACGAUGGAUACUAGGUGCUGGGGAGUUAUCUUCGGUGCCGGAGCUAACGCGUUAAGUAUCCCGCCUGGGGAGUACGGUCGCAAGGCUGAAACUCAAAGAAAUUGACGGGGGCCCGCACAAGCGGUGGAGUAUGUGGUUUAAUUCGAUGCAACGCGAAGAACCUUACCCAGGCUUGACAUCCGGGGAACCCUCAUGAAAGUGAGGGGUGCCCUUCGGGGAACCUCGAGACAGGUGCUGCAUGGCUGUCGUCAGCUCGUGCCGUGAGGUGUUGGGUUAAGUCCCGCAACGAGCGCAACCCUUGUCUCCAGUUGCCAACGAGUAAAGUCGUGCACUUUGGAGAGACCGCCCCGGUCAACGGGGAGGAAGGUGGGGACGACGUCAAGUCAUCAUGGCCCUUACGCCUGGGGCAACACACGUACUACAAUGGCGCGCACAAAGGGCAGCGAACCCGCGAGGGGGAGCCAAUCCCAAAAAACGCGUCCCAGUCCGGACUGCAGUCUGCAACUCGACUGCACGAAGUCGGAAUCGCUAGUAAUUCGAGAUCAGCAUGCUCGGGUGAAUGCGUUCCCGGGCCUUGUACACACCGCCCGUCACACCACGAAAGUCGGUUUGCCCAAAGCCGGUGAGCCAACUCGCAAGAGGGGCAGCCGUCUACGGUAGGGCCCGAUACUGG
rnacentral:rRNA from 1 species